ensembl:lincRNA
UUAAAGAUUCUUCGGGUUGUAAUUGGCUAAAGAUGUGGGGCGCGGUGUUAACGCCAUUGCAAGAUGGCGCCGGCUUUCUGGUCACGCCGAUACUACAGGACUGAUAAACAGGGUGAACCGCGCAGGUGUAGGGGCUUUUCCUGUCUCAUCAAGUAUGCAUAUGAAGGAUCUUAGCUUGGCCUAUCAGUAAUAACCCUCGCGCGCUUUCAACCUAUCCCCAUCACUUCCCUCCUUCCUUAGAGUAUAUAAGUGUGUGAGAGCUUGUGCUCAGGGUCUUCCGCAUCAUGUAAGUCUAAAGGGAACCCCAUUAAAGCACGGUCAGAAGAACUCCGGUUGCCGCGUCUUCCUUGCUGGCGAGGCGGGCGCGACAAGUGGUGCCGAAACCCGGGAACUGAAACAACUUUGAGGCACCAGCGGAAGACGACCUCGGAAGAGGUAGAGUUCAGAACUGACGUGUGGGAUGGCCAAAACUCCCCUGCUUCCAUAAGGGAAGGACCGCGGUAAAAGAGCCAGAGCGAGAGCCGCCAGAGCCAGAGCCGCCAGAGCCAGAAGCCGCCAGAGCCAGAGCCAGAGCCGCCAGAGCCAGAGCCGCCAGAGCCAGAGCCAGAGCCGCCAGAGCCACGAGCGAAGCGCCAAGAGCCAGACCGCCAGAGCAAGAAGCCGAGCCGCCAGAGCCAGGCCAAGCCGCCAAGA